rnacentral:rRNA from 1 species
CCUACGGUGUGCAGCAGUGAGGGAUAUUGGUCAAUGGGGGAAACCCUGAACCAGCAACGCCGCGUGAGGGAAGACGGUUUUCGGAUUGUAAACCUCUGUCCUCUUUGAAGAUAAUGACGGUAGCAGCGGAGGACGCCCCGGCUAACUACGUGCCAGCAGCCGCGGUAAUACGUAGGGGGCAAGCGUUAUCCGGAUUUACUGGGUGUAAAGGGGGCGCAGACGGGGAUGCAAGCCAGGAGUGAAAGCCCGGGGCCCAACCCCGGGACUGCUCGUGGAACUGCGUGGCUGGAGUGCAGGAGGGGCAGGCGGAAUUCCUGGUGUAGCGGUGAAAUGCGUAGAUAUCAGGAGGAACACCGGUGGCGAAGGCGGCCUGCUGGACAGCAACUGACGUUGAGGCCCGAAAGCGUGGGGAGCAAACAGGAUUAGAUACCCUUGUAGUC